rnacentral:rRNA from 1 species
CGGGGUGCAGCAGGCGCGAAAUCUUUACAAUGCACGAAAGUGUGAUAAGGAGACUCCAAGUGCUCUUGGGAAACCAAGAGCUUUUGUCAAGUGUAGACAGCUUGAUGAAUAAGGACUGGGUAAGACCCGUGCCAGCCGCCGCGGUAAUACGGGCAGUCCAAGUGGUGUCCAAGUAUAUUGGGCUUAAAGCGUUCGUAGCUGGUCCAGAAAGUCUCUGGUGAAAGCUCGCGGCUUAACCGUGAGAAGUGCUAGAGAUACUUUUGGACUUGGAGACGGGAGAGGUCAGAGGUACUUUUGGGGUAGCGGUAGAAUGUAUUAAUCCUGAAAGGACCACCGGUAGCGAAGGCGCCUGACUAGAACGUGCUCGACAGUGAGGAACGAAGGCCAGGGGAGCAACCCGGAUUAGAUACCCGGUUAGUCCUGGCAGUAAAUGAUGCAAACUAGGUGUCAUACAACCCACGUGGUUUAGUGGUGCCGAAGGGAAACCGUUAAGUUUGCCGCCUGGGAAGUACGGUCGCAAGAUUGAAACUUAAAGGAAUUGGCGGGGGAGCACGGGGCGGGGGCGGCGGGCCGGGCGCGGGGCGCGGCCGGGG